rnacentral:rRNA from 1 species
CCGGGGAUAACAGGCUGAUACCGCCCAAGAGUUCAUAUCGACGGCGGUGUUUGGCACCUCGAUGUCGGCUCAUCUCAUCCUGGGGCUGAAGCAGGUCCCAAGGGUAUGGCUGUUCGCCAUUUAAAGAGGUACGCGAGCUGGGUUUAGAACGUCGUGAGACAGUUCGGUCCCUAUCUGCCGUGGGCGUUUGAGAAUUGAGGGAAGCUGCUUCUAGUACGAGAGGACCGAAGUGGACGAACCUCUGGUGUUCCGGUUGUCACGCCAGUGGCAUUGCCGGGUAGCUACGUUCGGACAGGAUAACCGCUGAAAGCAUCUAAGCGGGAAGCCCCUCCCAAGAUUAGUUCUCACUAGGACUUUAAGUCCUCUAAAGAUCCGUCGAAGACUACGACGUUGAUAGGCCAGGUGUGGAAGCGCAGUAAUGUGUGUAGCUAACUGGUACUAAUUGAUCGUGAGGCUUGACCAU